CCAAGGUGUGAUAAUGCUAACCAACAGGGAGAGAAACAGACAGCCUGCUCCUUUUGUAGCCGGCUAGGAAAGCUGCAUUGGAAGUCUUGUUAUUACAACAUGUUAUUGAAAUCCUCUAAGGAUGAUUCUAGUUAAACUCUUAACUAUCAUUUGAAAACCGUAGUUAAUUUUAGAAUCUACAAUGUAGAGAUGAUGCUUAUCAACAGAUGUUGUUUUAUCACAUUUACUUUUAGAAUGAUGGGUUCAAAUAUCAUAAAAAUAAUAAUAUAAGCAGC
rnacentral:lncRNA from 1 species